CUAAGAAUAUUCCGCAAUGGACGGAAGUCUGACGGAGCGACGCCGCGUGGAUGACGAAGGCCGAAAGGUUGUAAAGUUCUUUUGCUGGGGAAGAAUAACCGCAGGAGGGAAUGCUUGUGGGAUGACAAGAACCGGCGAAUAAGCCCCGGCCAACUACGUGCCAGCAGCCGCGGUAACACGUAGGGGGCGAGCGUUGUUCGGAAUUACUGGGCGUAAAGGGCAUGUAGGCGGCUUGGAAAGCCUGGCGUGAAAGUCUGCAGCUUAACUGCAGGGGUGCGCUGGGAACUGCUGAGCUUGAGUGACGGAGAGGGAGCUGGAAUUCCUGGUGUAGGGGUGAAAUCUGUAGAUAUCAGGAAGAACACCGAUGGCGAAGGCAAGCUCCUGGCCGAUGACUGACGCUGAGGUGCGAAAGUGUGGGGAUCAAACA
rnacentral:rRNA from 1 species